rnacentral:rRNA from 1 species
GUGUCAGCAGCCGCGGUAAUACCGGCAGCACGAGUGAUGACCGCUAAAAUAGGGCCUAAAGCGUGGGUAGCUGGCCACGCAAGUUCAUCGGGAUAUCUGCGCGCUUAACGCGCUGGCGUCCGGUGGAAACUGCAUGGCUUGGGACCGGAAGACCAGAGGGGUACGUCCGGGGUAGGAGUGAUAUCCCGUAAUCCUGGACGGACCACCGGUGGCGAAAGCGCCUCUGGAAGACGGAUCCGACGGUGAGGGACGAAAGCUCGGGUCACGAACCGGAUUAGAAACCCCCGUAGUCC